UACGGAGGGUGCAAGCGUUAUCCGGAUUCACUGGGUUUAAAGGGUGCGUAGGUGGGCAGGUAAGUCAGUGGUGAAAUCUCCGGGCUUAACCCGGAAACUGCCGUUGAUACUAUUUGCCUUGAAUAUUGUGGAGGUAAGCGGAAUAUGUCAUGUAGCGGUGAAAUGCUUAGAUAUGACAUAGAACACCAAUUGCGAAGGCAGCUUACUACACAACGAUUGACGCUGAGGCACGAAAGCGUGGGGAUCAAACAGG
rnacentral:rRNA from 1 species